rnacentral:lncRNA from 1 species
CUGAUCCUCUGUCUGGGGAAAUUGACGUUGUCCCAUUUCAUGGAUUGAGGAUAUCACUGAAGAGGCAGAGAGUGGCUAUGAGAUCUGUCCCAAAAGUCAAACACAGAAAUAUUCAUGCAUUCAGAUGUUUGCUUGGGACCAGUGCUCUCCAGUAGAACUUCCUGCCAUGAUGAAAAAGUAUCUGUGCUGUCCAUGAUGAUAGCCACAAAAUACAUGGAGUAAUGGACCACUUCCACUGUGGCCAGUGCAACUGAGGGACUCAACUUCUAAUUUUAAUUAAUUUAAAAUUAAAUUGCCAUAUAUUUAAUGGUUCAAAUGUAUAUUAUAUUAAAUGUCAUAUACUUGAAAUUCAUUUUUCCUG